UACAGAGGUCUCAAGCGUUGUUCGGAUUCAUUGGGCGUAAAGGGUGCGUAGGCGGCGCGGUAAGUCGGGUGUGAAAUCUUGGAGCUUAACUCCGAAACUGCAUUCGAUACUGCCGUGCUUGAGGACUGGAGAGGAGACUGGAAUUUACGGUGUAGCGGUGAAAUGCGUAGAUAUCGUAAGGAAGACCAGUGGCGAAGGCGGGGUCUCUGGGCCGAUAUUGACGCUGAGGAGCGAAAGCGUGGGGAGCAAACAGG
rnacentral:rRNA from 1 species